UGGGGAGUCGUCUAGAGGUAGGACAGCGGACUCUGGAUCCGUAAGCGAAGGUUCGAAUCCUUCCUCCCCAGCCA
rnacentral:tRNA from 1 species